CGACCGGCGCACGGGUGAGUAACGCGUAUGCAACCUGCCUGAUACCGGGGUAUAGCCCAUGGAAACGUGGAUUAACACCCCAUAGUACUUUUAUCCUGCAUGGGAUGUGAGUUAAAUGUUCAAGGUAUCGGAUGGACAUGCGUCCUAUUAGUUAGUUGGCGGGGUAACAGCCCACCAAGACGAUGAUAGGUAGGGGUUCUGAGAGGAAGGUCCCCCACAUUGGAACUGAGACACGGUCCAA
rnacentral:rRNA from 1 species